rnacentral:rRNA from 1 species
GACGAACGCUGGCGGCGUGCCUAACACAUGCAAGUCGAACGGAAAGGCCCUGCUUGCAGGGUACUCGAGUGGCGAACGGGUGAGUAACACGUGGGUGAUCUGCCCUGCACUUCGGGAUAAGCCUGGGAAACUGGGUCUAAUACCGGAUAGGAGCCAUUUUUAGUGUGAUGGUUGGAAAGUUUUUUCGGUGUAGGAUGAGCUCGCGGCCUAUCAGCUUGUUGGUGGGGUAAUGGCCUACCAAGGCGGCGACGGGUAGCCGGCCUGAGAGGGUGGACGGCCACAUUGGGACUGAGAUACGGCCCAGACUCCUACGGGAGGCAGCAGUGGGGAAUAUUGCACAAUGGGCGCAAGCCUGAUGCAGCGACGCCGCGUGGGGGAUGACGGCCUUCGGGUUGUAAACUCCUUUCGCUAGGGACGAAGCUUUUUGUGACGGUACCUAGAUAAGAAGCACCGGCUAACUACGU